GUACACGCUGUGACUAGCAUAUCAAUAAGCGGAGGAAAAGAAACUAACAAGGAUUCCCUUAGUAACGGCGAGUGAAGCGGGAAGAGCUCAAAUUUGAAAUCUUCAAGGUUUUACCUUGACGAAUUGUAGUUUAAAGAAGUGUUUUCUGCUGAAGUUUUGGUAAAAGUUCUUUGGAAUAGGACAUCAUAGAGGGUGAGAAUCCCGUAUUUGACCAUUAUUUUCAGCUUUGUGAUACACUUUCAAAGAGUCGGAUUGUUUGGGAAUGCAGUCCAAAAUGGGUGGUAAAUUUCUAUCUAAGGCUAAAUAUUGGCGAGAGACCGAUAGCGAACAAGUACCGUGAGGGAAAGAUGAAAAGAACUUUGAAAAGAGAGUUAAAUAGUACGUGAAAUUGUCAAAAGGGAAGCGUUUAACACCAGUGUUGUUGUCUGAAAAUCAACCUCUGUUAGCUUUAUGCAUGUUUGUUUAGACCUAAUCAGCUAUCUUGCAUGUUCUAUUGUUUACAGUGGUGCACUUUUCAGUUUACAGGUCAACAUCAGUUUUUUUUACCGUAAAAAAGUUAAAGAAAGGUAGCUCAUGGCUCCGGUCGUGAGUGUUAUAGUCUUUUUCCUAUGCGGUAGGAGAGACUGAGGUCUGCAGUGUAGGCUAUUUGGCUAGAUACUCAGGUGCUAUGUGAUACCAUUUCAUAAACAACUUGUUGAUUAUGUUUUGUCUAUUGCAUACUCGCUUGUACUAUCAUACCUACGCUUAGGAUGUUGAGUAGCGACAUACGCAC
rnacentral:rRNA from 1 species